GGGCCCGCACAAGCGGUGGAGCAUGUGGUUUAAUUCGAUGAUACGCGAGGAACCUUACCAGGGCUUAAAUGUAGUCUGACAGGGGUGGAAACACCCCCUCCUUCGGGCAGAUUACAAGGUGCUGCAUGGUUGUCGUCAGCUCGUGCCGUGAGGUGUCAGGUUAAGUCCUAUAACGAGCGCAACCCCUGCCGUUAGUUGCCAGCAUGUAAUGAUGGGAACUCUAACGGGACUGCCGGUGCAAACCGCGAGGAAGGUGGGGAUGACGUCAAAUCAUCACGGCCCUUACGUCCUGGGCUACACACGUGCUACAAUGGCCGGUACAGAGGGCAGCCACACCGCAAGGAGGCAGCGCCCUACGCUAUGAGCGGUAACUGGGAUGAAGUCGUAACAAGGUACACGAUC
rnacentral:rRNA from 1 species